GACGAACGCUGGCGGCGUGCCUAAUACAUGCAAGUCGAACGAGUGGCGAACGGGUGAGUAAUAUAUCGGAACGUACCGAGUAAUGGGGGAUAACCAAUCGAAAGAUUGGCUAAUACCGCAUAUUAUUCGAGCGGCCGAUAACUGAUUAGCUAGUUGGUGGGGUAAAGGCCUACCAAGGCGACGAUCAGUAGCGGGUCUGAGAGGACGAUCCGCCACACUGGGACUGAGACACGGCCCAGACUCCUACGGGAGGCAGCAGUGGGGAAUUUUGGACAAUGGGGGCAACCCUGAUCCAGCCAUGCCGCGUGUAUGAAGAAGGCCUUCGGGUUGUAAAGUACUUUUGUUAGGGAAGCGGUACCUAAAGAAUAAGCACCGGCUAACUACGUGCCAGCAGCCGCGGUAAUAC
rnacentral:rRNA from 1 species